rnacentral:rRNA from 1 species
AGAAUCAACGCUGGCGGCGUGCCUAACACAUGCAAGUCGCACGAGAAAGUGGAGCAAUCCAUGAGUAAAGUGGCGCACGGGUGAGUAACACGUGACUAACCUACCUUUUAGUGGGGGAUAACCUAGGGAAACCUGGGCUAAUACCGCGUAACACUUACGAGUCAAAGCAGCGAUGCGCUGAAAGGGGGGGUCGCGGCCGAUUAGCUAGUUGGCGGGGUAAUGGCCCACAAGGCGAUGAUCGGUA